AUUGAACGCUGGCGGCAGGCCUAACACAUGCAAGUCGAGCGGAUGAAGGGAGCUUGCUCCUGGAUUCAGCGGCGGACGGGUGAGUAAUGCCUAGGAUUCUGCCUGGUAGUGGGGGAUAACGUCCGGAAACGGGCGCUAAUACCGCAUACGUCCUGAGGGAGAAAGUGGGGGAUCUUCGGACCUCACGCUAUCAGAUGAGCCUAGGUCGGAUUAGCUAGUUGGUGGGGUAAAGGCCUACCAAGGCGACGAUCCGUAACUGGUCUGAGAGGAUGAUCAGUCACACUGGAACUGAGACACGGUCCAGACUCCUACGGGAGGCAGCAGUGGGGAAUAUUGGACAAUGGGCGAAAGCCUGAUCCAGCCAUGCCGCGGGUGUGAAGAAGGUCUUCGGAUUGUAAAGCACUUUAAGUUGGGAGGAAGGGCAGUAAGUUAAUACCUUGCUGUUUUGACGUUACCAACAGAAUAAGCACCGGCUAACUUCGU
rnacentral:rRNA from 1 species